UACAGAGGGUGCAAGCGUUAAUCGGAAUUACUGGGCGUAAAGGGCUCGUAGGUGGCCAACUAAGUCAGACGUGAAAUCCCUCGGCUUAACCGGGGAACUGCGUCUGAUACUGGAUGGCUUGAGUUUGGGAGAGGGAUGCGGAAUUCCAGGUGUAGCGGUGAAAUGCGUAGAUAUCUGGAGGAACACCGGUGGCGAAGGCGGCAUCCUGGACCAACACUGACACUGAGGAGCGAAAGCCAGGGGAGCAAACGGG
rnacentral:rRNA from 1 species